CAUUGCAUUCUGGGAUAAACAUGGACUCCUGAGGUCUCCUGGCUUGUUCCAAAGCCUGGUUCCUCUCAACACGACACUUGGACUGACCUGCAUCUGUAACGUAUUGACAGGAGAGUCUGGUCUCGUAUACUGUAUACAAAUCUCCAGCACUACUGUUUUGUUUUUUUUUUGCUGAAGACACGUGUUCUUUGUCAACAAGAUCCUGUUCACACCUGGGAGCUGCCCAGUACACUUUCACAUAAUUUACUACUGUUGGCCAUUGAGCUGCCCUGCACAAGAGCACAUUUUUGAUAGUUGUACAGUGAGGAAACUGCAUUACAUAUUUUCUCCAUUUUUUUCCCUUGUGACAGCUUUGAGCCAUUUUUCCAACCUUUAUGCUCCCACUGCUAUUUUUGUUGCUAAUAACAAGCAGCCUGUAACAUGUUUAACCUGCUGCUCUCUACACUAAAAAGCCUCUCCAUUGAAAACAUUUCACAAUGAAGAUACAACAAACACAGACAAGUCAGAGACCUUUUAUGACACCGCUCCAAAAUGCUAAAACAACACAUUCCUCAACAAAUUACAUUUCCAGUGACCAUUAGCAGUACCAGACUUCAGCUAUAAGCAUCACAUUGUACAGUAAGUGCUGGGAAGUGUGUCUUGUACUGUUCAUUGAUAUUUUUGAAAUGUCAGUGGAAACUAAGCUUGUGUUCCUGCAGCUCUGAUGAGCCAGACCUGGUCUCAGGAGACAGAGAUGGAAGCAGCUAAAAGCUCCUGAGGAGUUGAGCUUCAUGUUCAACUGUUCCUGUGUACACAUUUACACCAGUGAGCUGACCAGUGUGACCGCAGUCCUCCACUCUUGGAAAAACAUUCUCCUUGGAUAAAUAAAAGUUUAAAACAGUCGUCUCCGGACCUGAGAGGAGACAGACAUGUUGUCUCCUCCAGAGCGGAGGACGGACAGAGCCAGACUAGGGUGAUGAUGUCACCGAGAGGGAUAGACAUGGUUACAUGUAUUCAUAAACCUGGACUUAGAGUAUAUUUAGUCUUACUUUAGAAAAAAAGGCUCAUUUAGUGUUGUAGUGUUCGUUUCUUGAGGAGACAAAGCAGUGACAGUUCAGUGUCCUACUGAAGACUCUGACUACUCAUUUAAAUAACUCUGAUUUAUGGAAAUGUAAAAACAACUUCAUGAUCAGAAGCAUUAAACAUUAAAUCUUCCCUUGUGCAUGUUUUAGUUGUUAGACAAGGCAGAAAUAUAUGCACAUCCAGAGGUUUGUCUCUUUAAUUUAUUUUAUUUUAAAUGUAUAUCCAUCAUUUGAAGAAGUUAGAUUAAUUGCAAAACACAUAGUAACUAACCUGACUGAAAAAAACAUCACUUAUGUGGACUUCAUGGUCUCUAUUUUAGAGAUUCUGAAUGUUGAGAUGGUUCAUGAUGUGUUAACUCUACACAUGUUUUUUGAUUCCAUCUAAUGUAAAUAAUGAAUAAACAGAUCUGCCUGCUGUAAUAGCACAUA